GACGUAGGGCGCGAGCGUUGUCCGGAUUUAUUGGGCGUAAAGAGCUCGUAGGCGGUUCGUCGCGUCGGCUGUGAAAUCCCGGAGCUCAACUCCGGGUCUGCAGUCGAUACGGGCGGACUCGAGUUCGGCAGGGGAGACUGGAAUUCCUGGUGUAGCGGUGAAAUGCGCAGAUAUCAGGAGGAACACCGGUGGCGAAGGCGGGUCUCUGGGCCGAUACUGACGCUGAGGAGCGAAAGCGUGGGGAGCGAACAGG
rnacentral:rRNA from 1 species